rnacentral:lncRNA from 1 species
UUUUUAGUGAAUUGUUGGCCUUCUGGAAAGUAUGUUCAUUUACUGUACAUGUACUCAAUACUUUUGCUUUAAUUACUGCCUCAAUUCGGCGUGGCAUGGAGGUGAUCAGUUUGUGGCACUGCUGAGGUGGUAUGGAAGCCCAGGUUUCUUUGACAGUGGCCUUCAGCUCAGGUUCGCAACCCGCCAUAAAACCAAAAGAAGAAGAAGCACAGAUGCACAGAAACAGACAGAAUGACAACGAAAGAGAAGUCAAAGUGGAAUAAAAGAACGCAAUGUUCGGCAAUCAACUGCAAAAACUAUCAGUGCAACAGUACCCAUCUUGCCUUUCAUCGUUUUCCCAAAGACCCUGACAGGUGUGCCAGGUGGGUGCAGAAUCUCAGGAAUGCAUCUUUGAUGGGGAUAAGCUUUCAGCGGCUCCAUCACAACUAUAGGGUGUGCAGUGCACAUUUUCACACUAGCCAGUUUAAGAGACCAUCUAAUGUCCAUGCAGGAUUGAAAUGGGAUGCAGUGCCCACAAUGGUUAAUGCUCCUACCCCACCACCCCCAUUGGACUUGGUGUUAAAGAGAAAGCCACCAAAGACGCGUCAGGAGUUACCACCAAAGAGACGUAAAAAAAGUAAUAUUGUUUACCUGCCAAAUACAGGCUCAUCCACUGCAGACAGUGUUCAACAACCCACUGGCUCAGAGACCGAUAUUACCUCUCCUGAUGCUUCUGUAGCAAGACCUUCGAUGUCACUGACUCCACUGUUGCCCCCAAUGUCAUUGCCAACAGGCCUUGAAGCUGCUGCCAGGGAACAUGCCCUGAAGAUGAAGAUUAGGAGUCUGAAGGUACAGGUGUGCAAACUGAAGGUGGAAGUGAACAGGCUGAAGAAGACCAGGAAGGCCUGUGUUAAUAAGGAGUCAGUGAUGAAGCAGUUGAAGAAACUCUUACCAGCCAAAGCAUAUGCUUUUGUGAGUACACAGAUACAUAUGUUUCAGCGGAAGGCUGAUGGUUUUCGGUGGACCACUCAGGACAAAGCUUUCUUCUUGUCUCUGCUACAUGCCAGUCCAAAGUGUUACAGGCUGCUGUUUAAAGCGUUUUCUAUGCCAUCUGUCCGCACACUGCAGAAGCUUAUGAAGUCUAUCGAUAUUGAGAAGACUAUUGGCGAACACAGCUAUGCUAGAGUGACUACUGACUGUAGAGUAGAUGAAACAGGCACCGUAUAUGCAGAUCCACCAGUCACUGCUAAUGCGGAAGCCAAAGCUGAACAGGUGGAGCAGCCAAUAGACUAUACACUUGACCACCAGUUUGAUUCCCACCAAAUAUCUUCUUUUAGUUCUGGAGAUCAUGAACAGUGAUGCUGUGCGGGAGUCUGAUGUGAGGGUGUUCUACCAAAACAUGUCCUGGACCUGCUGAAUGACAUGAGAUGAGGCCACCAAGUUCAGCAGCAUUUGCCUUUGACCAUGAUGGAAGUGUACUGGUUUACAUAGCUGGGUAUAUGGCCAGUAAGGUUGUGGGGAAAUUCGCAAUCAGUGAAGAUUUUCCCUGCAAGGAGUAUAAAAUCUUGAACACAGAUAUCCCUGCUGAUUCACAGUACGCAUUCCUCAAGGACAAGCAGUACACUGACCUCAACUUAGGAGAGAAGAGCCUUAAAGUGCCCAGCAUGGCACUGGUAGAUUUAGCCAUAGCUCUGGAGUCUAACUUCCGAAUAAAGAAAUAAAGAUCAGCUCAGUUAUCCACACAGUUAGGCUGGGUGGGAAGAUAUUUACCAGUAGGAUGGUGAUUGUGAGUGAGUGCAGGGGAGUAGUGUGUGACACGGAGAAGUGCAAAAAGUCACUCCCCUACAUGGUUAGACUCUUUAUACAGAUCAGAAUCCAUCGACAUCUUACGCACCCAAAAUUGGCAGAUCUCGCAGCCAAAUUAGAGGCACAAUAGAACAUUUCUCAAAUUAGUCAUCUGUAAAUUUUAUGACACCUACAGUAAAUGUUGUAUUGUCUUGUAUAUGUUUUAUGUUAUCAGUUGUGGAAUCCAACCAUUAAGUACACAUUUAAGGUAGGUUUAGCCUACUUUGAGUAUUUCCCUUUUAUGCAACUUUACACUUUUACUAUUACUAUUACUCCACUAGGUAUGAAAUGUAUAUUGUAUGUUUUAAUCCCCUGGAACACACUGCAAACAUAAUGAUCUUAUAGAACACGAUGCAUUGCUGUGUCUGUAAUAAUUGAAUCAUUAAUUUGAGACUGGCUGUAAAAAAAAGUUUUUUUUUGUUUACAGUCUUGCUUUAACGGACAUUAAUAUAAGACAAUACUGCAAAAACAGUUUACUGUCAAGCUUUUAUAAUCCUGUUAUUGUCCAACAUUCCCAGUUUUUCCGAUGCAUUUCCUUCAUUUAAUUGUAUAUGUUGGUAUUAGUGUUAUUAUAUUAUAGUGUUUAUUAUAGUGUUAUAAUAGUGGUAUUAAUAUUCAGUGUUUAUAAUGCUGAUACUUGAACAAAAUAAUUUAAACUGAAACUGACAUGGUUUCUAGAGAGCAAAGGUUUUGUGAAAAAAAUGGAAGACAAACACAAAGUCUAAAAUAAACUGUUAAAUGAA